AUAAAUGGCCUAGAGGAAAUAAUAAUAAAUACGUGUUGCAUAAACAGAAAAUGCUCAUUUCCUUAAAUAGGAAAUCAAAAUCGUUGUUUGCUAUUUAUUUAUCAAUUCUGAGACCGGGCAUCAUAAUGGCAUGCCCCAGUGAGCAGUCUUCAAAUUCCACAUGUAUAACCGAUGUAGCGGGAUCAACAACACAGACCCAAACGGAAUCUACCUGUUGUGAGACAGACAUUUCUGGCAAAUACUCGAUAGCUUAUGUAACAGUGCCAAAUAUAGAAACUGCCAAGAAAUUGGCUCAUGGUUUGGUGGAGACGCGACUAGCUGCAUGUGUUAAUAUUGUACCACAAAUAAUUUCCAUUUACCAGUGGAAGGGAGAAGUUAAUGAGGAUGCUGAAGGUCUCCUGAUGAUAAAAACCAAAACAGACAAAGUAAACAAAGUAACAGCCUAUGUGAAAGAAAACCAUCCAUACACAGUAUGUGAAGUGAUAUCUGUACCUAUACAAAAUGGUAACCCAGAUUACUUGAAGUGGAUUGAAGAAUCUAUAGGUUGACCUUGUUGUUGUUGACCCAAGGAAAUACAUAAUGGAUUUAGGAUGCAAUAAUAUUAUAAGUCAAAAUCGAAUAAUCAUUUAUUCCAUAGCCCUUCAUUGUGACCAGCAAUUAUCUAUUGUGAUCACUACUAAUUACAACUUUGAGACAAGAUCAACAGAAUUAAGGAACUAGGAUUUUCUUGACUUCAAUUGUCUGAAUCUCCCCUGGCUGGGGUAUAUUCUUAUCAAAGAGUGUUUAUUGUAUGCCCAUGAAAUGGCAGCCAUCGAUUAUAUAACCAGAAAUAGAGACGAAAUGAGGUCAAAUCAGGGCAAAUGGGCCUUAUAUCACUUUUAAAUAUGAACUCUAGUUUUCGCUGAAAUCAGAAAUCUGAAAUAAUACAGCGCCAUCAACUGACCUGCAUCUACGUCUCAUAUAUUAAAAAAAUAUUCUGUAUUUAUUGUAUUAAAGAUAAUAUCUCUUAAGUAUGGAGGGCUGUUCCAUUGAAUGGUGUGGGAAAAACAGCAAACAUCUAAUUAGAAAACAAACGGAA